rnacentral:misc_RNA from 1 species
UUUCCGUAGGUGAACCUGCGGAAGGAUCAUUGAAUUAUUAAAACCACUCUGUGAACCUCAACGUUUCGUGCCUUAGCUGCCAGCGGGGUGUUCGGUCUGAACAAACCGGGUACAACUCGCAGCUGGUUCUGGCAAUGCUGCCGGGAUCCAGUGGCGCUUUGGCAUGCCCUCUUUUACACCAUUGCCAACACAAUGUCAAACCAAACCCUAAAGCUUUGACUGCUAGUAACUGGCGGUCUUAACCAAAGACAACUCUCAACAACGGAUAUCUUGGCUCUC